CAGCACCUCAAGUGGUCAGGAUGAUUAUUGGGCCCAAAGCAUCCGUAGCCGGCGCUGUAAGUUUUCGGUUAAAUCUGUACGCUCAACGUACAGGCUGCCGGGAAUACUGCAGCGCUAGGGAGUGGGAGAGGUAGACGGUACUCGGUAGGAAGGGGUAAAAUCCUUUGAUCUAUUGAUGACCACCUGUGGCGAAGGCGGUCUACCAGAACACGUCCGACGGUGAGGGAUGAAAGCUGGGGGAGCAAACCGGAUUAGAUACCCGCGUAGUC
rnacentral:rRNA from 1 species